CUAACGAACUAUUUUUUUCUGCACUUUCCCUUUGAAAAGCUUUUCACAACACUUAAACCCAGCUCGCAGUCGCCAUUUGAUGUAUAUUUAAGCUAACUUACCAAUUAUGCUGUGAUCGGCAAGGCUUAGGUUCUAGGUUUAAGUAAUAUCACACUCUCUUAGUCUCUGCAAUAUAUUCUACGGUACUCGUCUGCAACUGUCGUUCACACGAG
rnacentral:lncRNA from 1 species